rnacentral:rRNA from 1 species
CGCAUCUGUGCAUGCAGCAUAUCAAUAAGCGGAGGAAAAGAAACUAACAAGGAUUCCCUUAGUAACGGCGAGCUGAAGCGGGAAGAGCUCAAAUUUGAAAUCUUCAAGGUUUUACCUUGACGAAUUGUAGUUUAAAGAAGUGUUUUCUGUUGAAGUUUUGGUAAAAGUUCUUUGGAAUAGGACAUCAUAGAGGGUGAGAAUCCCGUAUUUGACCAUUAUUUUCAGCUGUGUGAUACACUUUCAAAGAGUCGGAUUGUUUGGGAAUGCAGUCCAAAAUGGGUGGUAAAUUUCAUCUAAAGCUAAAUAUUGGCGAGAGACCGAUAGCGAACAAGUACCGUGAGGGAAAGAUGAAAAGAACUUUGAAAAGAGAGUUAAACAGUACGUGAAAUUGUCAAAAGGGAAGCGUUUGACACCAGUGUUGUUUUCUCGAAAAUCAAUUAAAAAGAGUUUGAUUUUGUUGUGUAUUGACCUUAACAGCUUGCAUUUCAAUUUUCUUGCUUUUUUUAAUGCACUUUUCGUUUAACAAGUCAACAUCAGUUUCUUUUGUUGUAAAAAGGUCAUUGGAAGGUGGCUUUCUUUUCGGAGAAAGUGUUUAUAGCCUUUGACUCCUGCAAUCGGAGAGACUGAGGUCUGCAGCGUAGAUCCUUCGGGGUUAGAUACAUUUGUGCUAAGUUAUAGCUUUUUAUAGACAACUUGUUGACUAUGAUUAGUCUUGUAGCUUACUCGCUUAUGCUAUUUUACCUACGCUUAGGAUGUUGAACUCUAUCACACACAG